rnacentral:rRNA from 1 species
AGAGUUUGAUCCUGGCUCAGGAUGAACGCUGGCGGUAUGCUUAACACAUGCAAGUCGAACGCAACUUUUCGGAGUUGAGUGGCGGACGGGUGAGUAAAGCGUGAGAAUCUGGCCUUAGGUUCGGGACAACCACUGGAAACGGUGGCUAACACCGGAUAUGCCUGCGGGUGAAAAAUUAAUUGCCUGAGGGGGAGCUCGCGUCUGAUUAGCUAGUUGGUAGGGUAAGAGCCUACCAAGGCGACGAUCAGUAGCUGGUCUGAGAGGACGAUCAGCCACACUGGGACUGAGACACGGCCCAGACUCCUACGGGAGGCAGCAGUGGGGAAUUUUCCGCAAUGGGCGAAAGCCUGACGGAGCAAUACCGCGUGAGGGAGGAAGGCUCUUGGGUUGUAAACCUCUUUUCUCUGGGAAGAAGACCUGACGGUACCAGAGGAAUCAGCAUCGGCUAACUCCGUGCCAGCAGCCGCGGUAAUACGGAGGAUGCAAGCGUUAUCCGGAAUGAUUGGGCGUAAAGCGUCCGCAGGUGGCAGUUCAAGUCUGCUGUUAAAGAUUGGGGCUCAACCCCGACACAGCAGUGGAAACUGAACAGCUAGAGUGCGGUAGGGGCGGAGGGAAUUCCUGGUGUAGCGGUGAAAUGCGUAGAGAUCAGGAAGAACACCGGUGGCGAAAGCGCUCUGCUAAACCGCAACUGACACUCAGGGACGAAAGCUAGGGGAGCGAAUGGGAUUAGAUACCCCAGUAGUCC